CUGCGGGGUAGCCGAACCCGAACGCGGUGACCGGCGCUGCGGCCGCCGCGGCCCGGCCGGUGGCGGCGUGGUCGGGGUGCGGGUCCCCGGUCCACGGG
rnacentral:tRNA from 1 species